UACGUAGGGGGCGAGCGUUGUCCGGAGUUACUGGGCGUAAAGGGCAUGCAGGCGGUCGGACGCGUUUCGGGUGACAGCGGGUGGCUCAACUACCCGAGCAUGCGAAAGACGGUCGGACUUGAGGACUCGAGAGGGACACGGAAUUCCGGGUGGAGUGGUGAAAUGCGUAGAGAUCCGGAGGAACACCGAAGGCGAAGGCAGUGUCCUGGCGAGUGACUGACGCUGAGGUGCGAAAGCCAGGGGAGCGAACGGG
rnacentral:rRNA from 1 species